CCAAAUACUCUCCGAACGUAUAUGUGUCUGAAUAUUAAAAAAUCAUCCGUUUAGGCGUAAUAUAAAAUCAUCCUGUUAAGAGGUCUCGAUCAAGAAGGUGACUCGUCUAUACUUUCAAUUAAUAGAGCUGUUGCGUCAUUAUUAAAGGAUCUUAACCUUGUGCAACUUUUGAGGGAGGAAGAGGAAUUACUGUCGAGUGUGGAGAAGCCUUCUGCUUAUCACAUUCAUUUACUAUUGUGUCAUUCAGUUUUGGGCUGAAACUUGAAUUAAGAUGCACCUCUCGCACAUCGAAAGGUAUACCAGCAAUCAGUAUACUGGACGCAUAGCUAAACUGAACUGGACAGUUGUAAUUAGCGGUAAUUAUGCAGUUUACAUGUACUAUAAUUAUCUCUGUGGAUAAUUUAGCAUUUA